ensembl:misc_RNA 7SK 7SK RNA
GGGCUCCCAAAACUGCAUGCUUGGUUGAAGAAGACAACCAUCCCUGAUAGAGAACUGGUCUUCGGUCAAGGGUAUAUGAGCAGCUGUACUCCUCUGCUAGAACCUCCAAACAAACUCUCAAGGUCCAAAGUGUGAGAGGGUGGCCGUGC